rnacentral:tRNA from 1 species
CCUGUGGCAGUCCAGUGGUUAGGACUCGGCGCUUUCACAGCCAGGGCCCAGGUUCGAUCCCUGGUCAGGGAA